CGUCACACUGGAUGGUUUCAGAUCUUUAGACAAAAUGUAAUUUUAGACAGAGGGAACCUGAGUGAACUCAAGAUACACUUUUGAAAAUUAUUACAUUUUAUGAGAAAAAAAAGAUCACUGAUAUCACCCAUGUUAAAAAGUAAUUGCCCCCUUACACUUAACUGGUUGCACAAUCGUCAGCAGCGAUAACUGCAAGCUAACAAUGUGGAGGAAUCUUAGCCCAAUUUUCUUUGCAGAACUGCUUUAUGUAAUUCAGAUAAAUUGGUAGGUUUUGGACCAGAGAUCAGACCACUCCAAAACUUUCAUUUUGUUUCUUUUCAGUCAUUCAUAUGUGGACUUGCUUUUCUGUUUUGGAUCAUUGUCUUGUAGCACAACCCAAUUAGGCUUCAGCUCACAGACAGAUGACCAGACACUCUCCUUAAGAAUUUUCAGAUACAGAGCAGAAAUCAAUGGUGGCAAGUCACACAGAUCCCAAGGCAGUAUUGCAUCCCCACACCAUCACACUGCUACCACCAUGUUUGACUGUUGGUAUGAUGUUCUUGCUGUGAAAUCCUGUAUUUGCUUUAUACCAGACAUAAUGGGACCAAUGUCACCCAAAAAGUUCCACUUUUGACUAAUCUUUCCAUAGAACAUUAUCCCAAAAGGCGUGGGGAUUAUUCGGGUACUUUUUUUUUUUUUUUUUGAAAAUGUAAGGCAAGCACUGAUGUUUCUCUGGGUUAGCAGUGGCUUCCUCCUCGCUACUCUCUCAUUAAUCAUAUUUUUGCCCAGUGUUUUUCUUACUGUGGAGUCAUGAACACUAACCUUAGCCGAGGACUGCAGUUCUUUGGAUGUUCUUCCGGGAUCUUUUGUGCUGGAUGAGCCUUGCAGAAAUUCUGGCAGGUUGAUCAACCCUGGGAAGUGUUCUUCAUUUGGAGGUCGUUGAUGCUGAUACUCAUCUGGAGCUUUGACACAAUGCAUGCUAGCUAAAUAAAGCUGUACAUACAGAUUA